AUACAUACACCUAAUC
rnacentral:sRNA from 1 species